CUUAAUUUGACUCAACGCGGGGAAACUCACCAGGUCCAGACAUAACUAGGAUUGACAGAUUGAUAGCUCUUUCUUGAUUUUAUGGGUGGUGGUGCAUGGCCGUUCUUAGUUGGUGGAGUGAUUUGUCUGGUUAAUUCCGAUAACGAACGAGACCUUAACCUGCUAAAUAGCCAGGCUGGCUUUUGCUAGUCGCCGGCUUCUUAGAGGGACUGUUAGUGUUUAGCUGACGGAAGUUUGAGGCAAUAA
rnacentral:rRNA from 1 species